UACGUAGGGUGCGAGCGUUAAUCGGAAUUACUGGGCGUAAAGCGUGCGCAGGCGGUUCGUGAUGUCUGGUGUGAAAGCCCCGGGCUUAACCUGGGAAUUGCAUUGGAAACUAGCGGGCUGGAGUGUGGCAGAGGGGGGUGGAAUUCCACGUGUAGUAGUGAAAUGCGUAGAGAUGUGGAGGAACACCGAUGGCGAAGGCAGCCCCCUGGGCUAACACUGACGCUCAUGCACGAAAGCGUGGGGAGCAAACAGG
rnacentral:rRNA from 1 species